rnacentral:rRNA from 1 species
GACGAACGCUGGCGGCGUGCUUAACACAUGCAAGUCGAACGAUGAACUUGGAGCUUGCUCUGGGGGAUUAGUGGCGAACGGGUGAGUAACGCGUGAGUAACCUGCCCUGGACUCUGGGAUAACUUCGAGAAAUCGGAGCUAAUACCGGUUAGGACCUUGCACCGCAUGGUGUGGGGUGGAAAGUUUUUCGGUUUGGGAUGGACUCGCGGCCUAUCAGCUUGUUGGUGAGGUAAUGGCUCACCAAGGCGUCGACGGGUAGCCGGCCUGAGAGGGUGACCGGCCACACUGGGACUGAGACACGGCCCAGACUCCUACGGGAGGCAGCAGUGGGGAAUAUUGCACAAUGGGCGCAAGCCUGAUGCAGCAACGCCGCGUGCGGGAUGACGGCCUUCGGGUUGUAAACCGCUUUUAGUAGGGAAGGAGCCUUCGGGUGACGGUACCUGCAGAAAAAGGACCGGCUAACUACGUGCCAGCAGCCGCCGUAAUAC